rnacentral:rRNA from 1 species
GUGAGGAAUAUUGGGCAAUGGACGCAAGUCUGACCCAGCAACGCCGCGUGAAGGAAGAAGGCUUUCGGGUUGUAAACUUCUUUUAAGGGGGAAGAGUAGAAGACGGUACCCCUUGAAUAAGCCACGGCUAACUACGUGCCAGCAGCCGCGGUAAUACGUAGGUGGCAAGCGUUGUCCGGAUUUACUGGGUGUAAAGGGCGUGUAGCCGGGAAGGCAAGUCAGAUGUGAAAUCUGGAGGCUCAACCUCCAAACUGCAUUUGAAACUGCUUUUCUUGAGUAUCGGAGAGGUAAUCGGAAUUCCUUGUGUAGCGGUGAAAUGCGUAGAUAUAAGGAAGAACACCAGUGGCGAAGGCGGAUUACUGGACGACAACUGACGGUGAGGCGCGAAAGCGUGGGGAGCAAACAGGAUUAGAAACCCGGGUAGUCC